rnacentral:sRNA from 2 species
CCUGCCCCGUAGCCGAAUCCUCCCGGCCGGGAGGAGCGGGGGACCCAGGUUAUCGGGGCGAAGCGCCGAAGCGCCGGGGACCUUCACCCUCGAGCCCGUCAGCUAACCUCGCAGGCGUCGUGAGGGAGGCGCC